rnacentral:rRNA from 1 species
AGAGUUUGAUCCUGGCUCAGGAUGAACGCUGGCGGCGUGCUUAACACAUGCAAGUCGAACGAACCUUCGGGUUAGUGGCGGACGGGUGAGUAACGCGUGAGAAUCUGCCCUCAGGAGGGGGACAACAGCUGGAAACGGCUGCUAAUACCCCAUAUGCCGCGAGGUGAAAUGAAUUUCGCCUGAGGAUGAGCUCGCGUCUGAUUAGCUAGUUGGUGUAGGUAAUGGCUCACCAAGGCAUCGAUCAGUAGCUGGUCUGAGAGGAUGAUCAGCCACACUGGGACUGAGACACGGCCCAGACUCCUACGGGAGGCAGCAGUGGGGAAUUUUCCGCAAUGGGCGAAAGCCUGACGGAGCAACGCCGCGUGAGGGAUGAAGGCCUCUGGGCUGUAAACCUCUUUUAUCAAGGAAGAAGAUCUGACGGUACUUGAUGAAUAAGCCACGGCUAAUUCCGUGCCAGCAGCCGCGGUAAUACGGGAGUGGCAAGCGUUAUCCGGAAUUAUUGGGCGUAAAGCGUCCGCAGGCGGCCCUUCAAGUCUGCUGUUAAAAAGUGGAGCUUAACUCCAUCAUGGCAGUGGAAACUGUUGGGCUUGAGUGUGGUAGGGGCAGAGGGAAUUCCCGGUGUAGCGGUGGAAUGCGUAGAUAUCGGGAAGAACACCAGUGGCGAAGGCGCUCUGCUGGGCCAUCACUGACGCUCAUGGACGAAAGCCAGGGGAGCGAAAGGGAUUAGAUACCCCUGUAGUCCUGGCCGUAAACGAUGAACACUAGGUGUCGGGGGAAUCGACCCCCUCGGUGUCGUAGCCAACGCGUUAAGUGUUCCGCCUGGGGAGUACGCACGCAAGUGUGAAACUCAAAGGAAUUGACGGGGGCCCGCACAAGCGGUGGAGUAUGUGGUUUAAUUCGAUGCAACGCGAAGAACCUUACCAGGGUUUGACAUCCUGCGAAUCUCUUGGAAACAGGAGAGUGCCUUCGGGAACGCAGUGACAGGUGGUGCAUGGCUGUCGUCAGCUCGUGUCGUGAGAUGUUGGGUUAAGUCCCGCAACGAGCGCAACCCACGUCUUUAGUUGCCAGCAUUCAGUUGGGCACUCUAGAGAGACUGCCGGUGAUAAACCGGAGGAAGGUGUGGAUGACGUCAAGUCAUCAUGCCCCUUACAUCCUGGGCUACACACGUACUACAAUGCUACGGACAAAGGGCAGCAAGUUCGCGAGGACAAGCAAAUCCCAUAAACCGUGGCUCAGUUCAGAUCGUAGGCUGCAACUCGCCUACGUGAAGGCGGAAUCGCUAGUAAUCGCAGGUCAGCAUACUGCGGUGAAUACGUUCCCGGGCCUUGUACACACCGCCCGUCACACCAUGGAAGUUGGCCACGCCCGAAGCCGUUACUCCAACCCUUGUGGAGGAGGACGUCGAAGGUGGGGCUGAUGACUGGGGUGAAGUCGUAACAAGGUAACC